CCCUAAUUUCAUUCUAUUAAGUAUUAAGAAUCUUGAUUCAUGCAAAACUUAUACAUUAUUAAAUCAUCUUUUCUAACUUAAUAUUAUUAUUUAUAAUAUGUGGCAGUCUUGAACUGGACCCUAAAGAAUAUCUUAUGAAAACAAUUAUUUUCCUUACGUCAGCUUUUAUAUGCAUGGUAUCGAAUUUUUAUAUUAUUGCAUGACCGCCAAUGGGGCAAGUGUGUUAUAGUAAACCCACCACCAGUGAGUAGUUCCACAUUGCGGAAAAAUAAUAAACCUCCCUGAAUAAUAAUUAUGAUUAUCCGGCCAAAGGAUACUAGCUACUAGCUUAAGAAACACAUCAGACGAAUUUGAGUCACCUGUUGACAUAAGUCCUUUAAUUUUAUUACUCAUUGUUAUUACUUAUUUGAGACUUUAUGAAAGUGAGUUUAAUUUUUAUUAAGUGAUAAUUAAAUUAAAAGUAUUCUUGACUCAAAGUGGUUUUCCAAAGAUGAGUUGAACCACCCACGAAGUUAAUUUCAAGAAUCUAUUCUUUUCAAGAAAUAAGAAUAGUAUGAAGUCCUUCUCGCUAGCAGUCCUUGAAUUACAAUUUGGAUUUAAAUCCAUUAAAACUAAUCCAUCUAUUAGUCAAUGUUACUAUUACAACAUUUCUUCUCAUGAAAGUCGAGAUAAUUUUUAUUCAACAUCUAUUAAGAAUUUAUCUUCAUACAAUUGAUAGGAACCUAAAUAAUAGAAGAUGAAAGACAUCCGAAAAUUGAUGAUGAGGAUUACAACGGUUCUUUUAAAUAUUUGAUAAGAAAUCGAUAAGAUCCAAGAUCAUUAUCGUGUUUGGAAAUUUCGAUAACUCUUCAUCAAUUGUCUGCACGAAAACUUAUCUUUGACCUAGUACUAUGAUGCUUCCACUUGGACUUAAGGUUAAAACUUAUCCUGGAUUAACUCAACCUAAAUUAUGUGCUACGAGAACUUAUAUUUGACGUAGUAGCAUGAAGACUCCACUUGGACUUGAUUUUAUUAUAACUCAUCCCAUCCUCAUUGCCUACCCUUGCUGUAGAUUAUAUUUACUUACUCAAAUAACUAAAUAAAUACACCUUUUGCUUCAAAAUCGAAAUACAUUUUUUAUUAGAACAAAUUAUUUUUUAUUGCGUUUAAACAUUAACAACCAAUACAUAAUAUUUGAAGUAUUGAAGAUAUUCUGAUAAUAAAGGCUUCCUGCUUACUCGUUAAGUUUUUUUUUAAAGUUUUUUGAUUUAUUAUAUUGAUAUCCAAUUCUUUUCUUUUUCUCAUGAAUUUUAUAAUUUACCUAGAGAAGUAUUUUUGCUAUAUAGUUGAAAAUUUUACAUGCUAUACUUAGAAAAUAUUGGUUAAAAGUAUGAUUCUCCUCAAAUUCUACUUCGGCAAUGCCUGAAGCAUAAGGAUCAUGUUAAAAAAUAUUUUAUUUGAGUGUGGUUAUUUUGAAAUUUGAAAAACAUGACAGCAAGUUAGUAAGGGUUAGUCCAUCAAAAAUGGUUGAUAUCGACCUCAUCCAAUAAUUUUUGAGACAAUAUAUAUAGUCUACUUGAUGUUUGUUUAGCUGCUAAAAACGUAUCAUGGGCGAUACUUGUUACUUUGCCUCUGAUUCUUUCCCAUUCAUAAGGCCAACAUGAUAAAUCUUUUAAAAGGUGAAGCUGAGAUCAGUCCAUGGUAAUUGGUUUUUUUUCCAUUCAUUACUCUUGGUAACUUCCAAUAAGUCCUCCGUGACAAGCCAAUCUUUUUUUACCAUUUCUUUCUCCAUAAUGUCUAAGUGUAGUAAUCGUUGACUAAUGAAACAAACUCGGAGCUUCUUUGCGGAGCUCUCUGUAUAAAGCCCAAGAAAAACUUUUCCAUAACAUAGACAAAGCAUACAUCCAUAUGGUAUACCUCCUCUGUUAAGAAUUUUUUAGAAGGAGGGAUAAUUAUGAAAUGAGGAUUGAGGUUUUGGAGAUGCUUAAUAACUGAUUCUAUUUCAUCUUAAAUUUGAAUUUUCAGAGACAAAAUCGGAAGUAAACAAGGAAUUAAAAUAGUCCAGUAUAUUCAAUAAAAUAUCACACUCAUUAAUUUAAUUAUUGUGAAUGAUGUUUUUCAGGAGUUGAAAUGAAAGUUCCUUGUUCUUGUACCUAAAAAAAUUAAAUAUACAUGUCCAUUAAUGUAUGUCGAAGAAAUAGUAUCGGACAUUUUGAAUGCAUGAAUUUUAUUCAUAAUAUUUUCUUUUAAGAUCCGAGUGGAAGAGAGAGAUGCUUUGCUCCUCACUAUUUUGGCUGGCUUGGAAAUAUAGGAGGGCAUGUUUGAAAACUGUGUUGAUGUAUCAUCCUUGUUUAAUAUUUUUAUAGAUAUAUCCUUACUUGGAUAGUUGUUCCAAUCCUCAGAUUGAAUUUUAUAGUCGAAAGAUAAAAGAUACGAGUCACAUAUAGCAGAAUAUUUUGAAGGCUCCUAAUGGCUAAUUGUUAAAAGAGAGAGCUUUUGUCAAUAGACUUCGUCAUUUCU
rnacentral:lncRNA from 1 species